rnacentral:rRNA from 2 species
CUUACCAUGCAGUCGAACGGCAGCACGGGGAGCAAUCCUGGUGGCGAGUGGCGAACGGGUGAGUAAUACAUCGGAACGUGUCCUGUAGUGGGGGAUAGCCCGGCGAAAGCCGGAUUAAUACCGCAUACGCUCUACGGAGGAAAGGGGGGGAUCUUCGGACCUCUCGCUACAGGGGCGGCCGAUGGCAGAUUAGCUAGUUGGUGGGGUAAAGGCCUACCAAGGCGACGAUCUGUAGCUGGUCUGAGAGGACGACCAGCCACACUGGGACUGAGACACGGCCCAGACUCCUACGGGAGGCAGCAGUGGGGAAUUUUGGACAAUGGGGGCAACCCUGAUCCAGCAAUGCCGCGUGUGUGAAGAAGGCCUUCGGGUUGUAAAGCACUUUUGUCCGGAAAGAAAACUUCGGCCCUAAUACGGCGGGAGGAUGACGGUACCGGAAGAAUAAGCACCGGCUAACUACGUGCCAGCAGCCGCGGUAAUACGUAGGGUGCAAGCGUUAAUCGGAAUUACUGGGCGUAAAGCGUGCGCAGGCGGUCCGCUAAGACAGAUGUGAAAUCCCCGGGCUUAACCUGGGAACUGCAUUUGUGACUGGCGGGCUAGAGUAUGGCAGAGGGGGGUAGAAUUCCACGUGUAGCAGUGAAAUGCGUAGAGAUGUGGAGGAAUACCGAUGGCGAAGGCAGCCCCCUGGGCCAAUACUGACGCUCAUGCACGAAAGCGUGGGGAGCAAACAGGAUUAGAUACCCUGGUAGUCCACGCCCUAAACGAUGUCAACUAGUUGUUGGGGAUUCAUUUCCUUAGUAACGUAGCUAACGCGUGAAGUUGACCGCCUGGGGAGUACGGUCGCAAGAUUAAAACUCAAGGAA